rnacentral:rRNA from 1 species
UGGGGAAUAUUGCACAAUGGGCGCAAGCCUGAUGCAGCCAUGCCGCGUGUGUGAAGAAGGCACUCGGGUUGUAAAGCACCUUCAGCGGGGAGGAAGGCGAUAAGGUUAAUAACCUUGUCGAUGGACGUUACCCGCAGAAGAAGCACCGGCUAACUCCGUGCCAGCAGCCGCGGUGAUACGGAGGGUGCAAGCGUUAAUCGGAAUUACUGGGCGUAAAGCGCACGCAGGCGGUCUGUCAAGUCGGAUGUGAAAUCCCCGGGCUCAACCUGGGAACUGCAUUCGAAACUGGCAGGCUAGAGUCUUGUAGAGGGUGGUAGAAUUCCAGGUGUAGCGGUGAAAUGCGUAGAGUUCUGAAGGAAUACCGGUGGCGAAGGCGGCCCCCUGGAAAAAGACUGACGCUCAGGUGCGAAAGCGUGGGGAGCAAACAGG